rnacentral:rRNA from 1 species
UAUGGCUUAACCAUAGAACUGCUUGGGAAACUGAUAAUCUAGAGUGAGGGAGAGGCAGAUGGAAUUGGUGGUGUAGGGGUAAAAUCCGUAGAGAUCACCAGGAAUACCCAUUGCGAAGGCGAUCUGCUGGAACUCAACUGACGCUAAUGCGUGAAAGCGUGGGGAGCAAACAGGAUUAGAUACCCUGGUAGUCCACGCCCUAAACGAUGUAUACUAGUUGUUGCUAAGCUAGUCUUGGCAGUAAUGCACCUAACGGAUUAAGUAUACCGCCUGGGGAGUACGGUCGCAAGAUUAAAACUCAAAGGAAUAGACGGGGACCCGCACAAGCGGUGGAGCAUGUGGUUUAAUUCGAAGAUACGCGAAGAACCUUACCCGGACUUGAUAUCUAACAAAUCAUCUAGAGAUAGAAGAGUGUCUGCUUGCAGAAAUGUUAAGACAGGUGCUGCACGGCUGUCGUCAGCUCGUGUCGUGAGAUGUUGGGUUAAGUCCCGCAACGAGCGCAACCCACGUCAUUAGUUGCUAACAGCUCGGCUGAGCA